CCGCGCAGCCACGUAACCUCUCACCUUCUCCUUAGUUUUUAGUAGUCAGUAGUAGGGGAGAGUGUGGAGAGAAAGAGGAGAGAGAGAGAGAGAGCGCGCGAGAGAAAGGGAGAGAAAGUGAAAGAAGAAAAAAACGGGAAGAAGAACGCGAAAUAGCAAGAAGCCGACUGUGAGAAAAACCGAGAAACGAGAGGUCGACAGCCCGUUUUUUCGUCGUCGUGAUCUGUACUCCUCGUUGCUGUCGUUAUCGUCGUCGUUUUCGACGCAGUCUUCGCCGUCGUCGUCAUCGUCAUCUUCCUUGUCUACGUCCACGUCGUCGUUGUCGUUGUCUCCGCUACCGCUGCCGCCGUCGUCAUCCUCGUUGUCGUGUUCGUCGCCGUCGUCGUGAUCCGGCUCGACACGACCAACGCGGAUAUACAACACUCCGUCGACUCAUUGUUCACAAUCGAAAGAAAGAAAGGACGAAACAAUAAAAAAAAACGAAUACAACAGCAAAACAAAGUGCGAUCCGUGAAACGUACCGCGCGUACGUUUCAUUCCACGUUCCACCGUCCUACCGUCGAUAAUUUAUCGCGAUAAAGCAACGUAAAACCGUCGCGCAGCCUCCGAAAACGACGGAGCACCGCGCACUCGGUCUACCAGGAAAACAGAGAGAGACAGGUGAACAACAUAGAGGCGAAGGAGCGAGCGCGAAGAUUAAAGAGACGCGAGUAGACGUAACAAUCGAGGGACGAGGAUCAACGAGAGAGUAAUAGAAGUCGCGUGAAAGUGCGUGUCGUGCCGUGACAUCGGAAGCGUUGACACGCGAAGGAUCGAGUCGAGUCGGUGUUUUGCCAUCGACAAGGCAAACACACACGGCGCAUCGUUCAGCUGACGACGUGGUGUGUCAAAGUCGAAAGAACGAGAAGCGAGCGAGAGGCGGCUAUCGGCGAGACCGGCUGCCAUUGCCACUGGUACUAGUGUUACCAUAGCCACUGCAACCCCGGACACGCGAGAGCGUUGUCAUAACGACAAGCCGUGCGCCGCGCGUCGCUAUGGAGCCCCAGAACCAGGAAAUCGUUGCGAGCGGCUCGCCAGCCGAGGUGCCGAACGAUCCAGGGAAAAUGUUCAUCGGUGGUCUAUCUUGGCAGACCAGUCCAGAAAGUCUUAGAGAGUACUUCACCAAGUAUGGGGACAUCACAGAAGUCAUGGUCAUGAAAGAUCCUACUACGCGACGAUCAAGAGGCUUUGGAUUCAUCACGUUCGCAGAUCCCGCGAGUGUAGACAAGGUGCUGGCACAGGGUAAUCACGAGUUAGACGGCAAGAAAAUCGAUCCGAAGGUAGCGUUUCCUAGGAGAACACAUCCAAAGAUGGUGACAAGGACAAAGAAGAUAUUCGUCGGUGGACUAUCGGCACCGACGACGCUGGAGGACGUGAAAAACUACUUCGAACAGUUCGGCCCGAUCGAGGAUGCCAUGCUGAUGUUCGAUAAGCAGACCAACAGGCACAGAGGCUUUGGCUUCGUCACGUUUCAAAGCGAGGACGUGGUCGACAAAGUCUGUGAGAUCCAUUUCCACGAAAUCAACAACAAAAUGGUCGAAUGCAAGAAAGCACAGCCGAAGGAAGUGAUGCUCCCAGCGAACCUGGCGAAGACGCGAGCGGCCAACAGAGGCGCAUACGAUUUUAUGUGGUCCCUGGGAGCAUUACCUGAUGGUUUCCCAGCGGCGGCGUACGCGGCAUACGCGGCAAGCCGCGGCUAUUCUGGGUACCCUAGUUUCGGACUGCCCUACCCGACAGGAGUGCCGGCAGUGUUCUACCACGGAACCGGAAGCGAGAACGCAAGCCGCGCAUAUACGGAGACACCGAUGCAACACGUCCAACGGACUGCACUCCGGAAGAAAUUGGAUCUUACCAACGGACAGCUCACCCCCAACAACAACACGCCCUUGCUCACGCAAGCUCUUUCUGUGAUGAACAACUACCAAGCGGCCGCAGCGCAGGCCGGAUUUCCGCCGGCGGGCGGGUGGCCACGGUGGGCCACAGGGCCGAUCAUUUCCUGCGGCUAAUUCACCGGGCCCCAUCGACAUGUAUAGUUCAAGCGCCGCAGCCGCAGCAGCUGCCGCAGCCGCGGACUCCGCAGUCGCCAGCUACGUCCAGGCCGCAGCCAGUCCGCAGCCCCCCACGACCGCGUUCCCUGCGAUCGCUGUGUCCCGUGCCCCGCUCAACUACAGUCCCGGUCCUCUAAUACCAGCGGCGUUCACUAAUGGCUACCAUUGAGCCUUGUUAAGACCUAAUAACAGGAUGGACGAGAGGGCAGAACGCAGCACGGUUGACUGACGGUACAGUGAACGAUGUAAAUGCCUUGGAAAAAUUCACCACGAUGAACGAACUUUGGACGGAACUGGAUGCGUACUAUUACCACUAAUACAUCGGAAAAUCGCGAUUUAGAUAGGAAGAUAAUAGUUUCUACACAGAAGGAGGCUUCGACUUUGCAACGGCGAUUGAUCGACCGCAACAACGGCGACGAUUGAACGGAAAUAACCGCUACUUUCCAACGAACGGAGAAGAAAAAAAA